rnacentral:tRNA from 1 species
GCCUGGCUGGCUUAGUCGGAAAAGCACGUGAUUCUUGAUCUUGCGGUCAUGAGUUCAAGCCCCAUGAUGGGUG